AAGUCGUAACAAGGUUUCCGUAGGUGAACCUGCGGAAGGAUCAUUAACACGUAUCCACGUAUCAACCAACCGCGCAUUUGUUUUCAAUCCGCCCUUGAGGGUACACGAAUUGGCUGCCGUUGAGUCGAGUAUUGAAUGGGACGCGUCUCACGCCGCGUCAGCUCGCUCAGCCUACAGGAGUUCGCUCCGACAAUUGCAGUGCGCUCAAGGCAACCUCCCUCUCACUCGUCUCUCCAUUCAAGAGCUCGAGUGGCAGGACAUCACACAUACAUUCACCAAUAUCACCUUUUUUGCUAGUGAAAUUUUAUACUGUUGCGUUCUCUUCUGAGACGCACACGUUUAAUUUAUUUGAACGUAUAAAACAACUCUGUGCAAUGGAUAUCUUGGUUCUC
rnacentral:misc_RNA from 1 species